CAGGAUGAACGCUAGCGACAGGCUUAACACAUGCAAGUCGAGGGGUAACAGGGUAGCAAUACCGCUGACGACCGGCGCACGGGUGAGUAACGCGUAUGCAACCUGCCUAUAACUGGGGAAUAGCUCCCUGAAAGGGGAAUUAACACCGCAUAACACUAUUGAUUCGCAUGGAUUGGUAGUUAAAUGUAGCGAUACAGGUUAUAGAUGGGCAUGCGUGACAUUAGCUAGUUGGUGAGGUAACGGCUCACCAAGGCUACGAUGUCUAGGGGUUCUGAGAGGAAGGUCCCCCACACUGGUACUGAGACACGGACCAGACUCCUACGGGAGGCAGCAGUGAGGAAUAUUGGUCAAUGGGCGCAAGCCUGAACCAGCCAUGUCGCGUGCAGGAAGACUGCCCUAUGGGUUGUAAACUGCUUUUAUAGUAGAAGAAACACAUCUACGUGUAGAUGUCUGCCAGUAUACUAUGAAUAAGCAUCGGCUAACUCCGUGCCAGCCGCUGC
rnacentral:rRNA from 1 species